rnacentral:tRNA from 1 species
UCCCUGGUGGCUCAUCUGUAAAGAAUCUGCCUGUAAUGCAGAACACCCAGGUUCAACCCCUGGGUUGGGAA